rnacentral:sRNA from 1 species
CCUCUCCUUGGUGAACUGAGUAAGUUGCUUCUUGCACAACUGCAUCAUGGAAAAAGGGUGAAGGCGGCUGGGCAGAUCCAGGCCUGGUGGCGUGGGGUCCUGGUGCGCAGGACCCUGCUGGUCGCUGCCCUCAGGGCCUGGAUGAUUCAGUGCUGGUGGAGGACGUUGGUGCAGAGACGGAUACAUCAGCGGCGGCAGGCCCUGUUGAGGGUCUAUGUCAUCCAGGAGCAGGCGACGGUCAAGCUCCAGUCCUGCAUCCGCAUGUGGCAGUGCCGGCAAUGUUACCGCCAAAUGUGCAAUGCUCUCUGCUUGUUCCAGGUCCCAGAGAGCAGCCUUGCCUUCCAGACUGAUGGCUUUUUACAGGUCCAAUACGCAAUUCCUUCAAAGCAGCCAGAGUUCCACAUUGAAAUCCUAUCAAUCUGAAAGGCCUGGGGCAUGGAGAACAGGCUCCACUGCCCUAAUAAAUGUCUGACCAGGU